rnacentral:rRNA from 1 species
UACGAAGGGGGCUAGCGUUACUCGGAUUGACUGGGCGUAAAGGGCGCGUAGGCGGUUUGUACAGUCAGACGUGAAAUUCCUGGGCUCAACCUGGGGGCUGCGUUUGAUACGUAUGGACUUGAGUUCGGAAGAGGGUCGUGGAAUUCCCAGUGUAGAGGUGAAAUUCGUAGAUAUUGGGAAGAACACCGGUGGCGAAGGCGGCGACCUGGUCCGAUACUGACGCUGAGGCGCGAAAGCGUGGGGAGCAAACAGG